GGUACUCAUACAUGGCUAUAGGGCACCAUUAUUUGGAAUUUUGAUCCCAUUGCCUAUAAUUAUCGAUGCUGAGAUCCAAGUAGACCUCUUGUCACCACAUAUUCUUCGCGUGAUCGGUGAUGAGCUAUGAGCCCAACUUCAAUCCCUAAUCAUCCUUGCAUAAAAUAAAUGCAGAGUGCAAUAAUUUUCUUCCAACAAGUUUGCUUGCCUUUCAGAUCAGGUGUAAAGUGCAAGCCUAAUUUUUAAAUAAUGGUUGCUGAUCUUGGAAGAGGAGACCACUUAUUUAGUAACAAAAUGCG
rnacentral:lncRNA from 1 species